rnacentral:rRNA from 1 species
UACGUAGGGGGCAAGCGUUGUCCGGAUUUACUGGGCGUAAAGCGCGCGUAGGUGGAAGGUCAAGUCCGGCUUGAAAGCCCCCGGCUCAACCGGGGAGAGUGGCUGGAAACUGGCUUUCUUGAGGGCGAGAGAGGAGGGUGGAAUUCCUGGUGUAGCGGUGAAAUGCGCAGAUAUCAGGAGGAACACCAAUUGCGAAGGCAGCUCGCUGGGACGUAACUGACGCUGAGACGCGAAAGCGUGGGGAGCAAACAGG